AGGGCCCUCAGGGGGCCAAAAAAAUCACGGAAAAACGGAGCUUACCGGCGGCGGCGCUCUCGGGUGCGGCGGCUCUCCGGCGAGGUUCGUGUUUUGGUGAUUCGGCUCCGGUCAACCUGUAGAGAAAAGAAUGGUGAUCACGGUGAUAUAAAAAUUGCAUCAAACGGAGGCCGGGAAGGGCCUCGUCGGAGGCAAAAACCGAGAGGGGGCGCGGCGGCGCCGCUGGUCUUCGGCCGCGUAUUCCGGCCGUUU
rnacentral:lncRNA from 1 species